UUGAACGCUGGCGGCAGGCCUAACACAUGCAAGUCGAGCGGUAGCACAGAGAGCUUGCUCUCGGGUGACGAGCGGCGGACGGGUGAGUAAUGUCUGGGAAACUGCCUGAUGGAGGGGGAUAACUACUGGAAACGGUAGCUAAUACCGCAUAAUGUCGCAAGACCAAAGUGGGGGACCUUCGGGCCUCAUGCCAUCAGAUGUGCCCAGAUGGGAUUAGCUAGUAGGUGGGGUAACGGCUCACCUAGGCGACGAUCCCUAGCUGGUCUGAGAGGAUGACCAGCCACACUGGAACUGAGACACGGUCCAGACUCCUACGGGAGGCAGCAGUGGGGAAUAUUGCACAAUGGGCGCAAGCCUGAUGCAGCCAUGCCGCGUGUGUGAAGAAGGCCUUCGGGUUGUAAAGCACUUUCAGCGGGGAGGAAGGCGUUAAGGUUAAUAACCUUGGCGAUUGACGUUACCCGCAGAAGAAGCACCGGCUAACUCCGUGCCAGCAGCCGCGGUAAUACGGAGGGUGCAAGCGUUAAUCGGAAUUACUGGGCGUAAAGCGCACGCAGGCGGUCUGUCAAGUCGGAUGUGAAAUCCCCGGGCUCAACCUGGGAACUGCAUUCGAAACUGGCAGGCUAGAGUCUUGUAGAGGGGGGUAGAAUUCCAGGUGUAGCGGUGAAAUGCGUAGAGAUCUGGAGGAAUACCGGUGGCGAAGGCGGCCCCCUGGACAAAGACUGACGCUCAGGUGCGAAAGCGUGGGGAGCAAACAGGAUUAGAUACCCUGGUAGUCCACGCCGUAAACGAUGUCGAUUUGGAGGUUGUGCCCUUGAGGCGUGGCUUCCGGAGCUAACGCGUUAAAUCGACCGCCUGGGGAGUACGGCCGCAAGGUUAAAACUCAAAUGAAUUGACGGGGGCCCGCACAAGCGGUGGAGCAUGUGGUUUAAUUCGAUGCAACGCGAAGAACCUUACCUGGUCUUGACAUCCACAGAACUUUCCAGAGAUGGAUUGGUGCCUUCGGGAACUGUGAGACAGGUGCUGCAUGGCUGUCGUCAGCUCGUGUUGUGAAAUGUUGGGUUAAGUCCCGCAACGGGCGCAACCCUUAUCCUUUGUUGCCAGCGGUUAGGCCGGGAACUCAAAGGAGACUGCCAGUGAUAAACUGGAGGAAGGUGGGGAUGACGUCAAGUCAUCAUGGCCCUUACGACCAGGGCUACACACGUGCUACAAUGGCAUAUACAAAGAGAAGCGACCUCGCGAGAGCAAGCGGACCUCAUAAAGUAUGUCGUAGUCCGGAUUGGAGUCUGCAACUCGACUCCAUGAAGUCGGAAUCGCUAGUAAUCGUAGAUCAGAAUGCUACGGUGAAUACGUUCCCGGGCCUUGUACACACCGCCCGUCACACCAUGGGAGUGGGUUGCAAAAGAAGUAGGUAGCUUAACCUUCGGGAGGGCGCUUACCACUUUGUGAUUCAUGACUGGGGUG
rnacentral:rRNA from 1 species